rnacentral:rRNA from 1 species
UACAGAGGGGGCAAGCGUUAUUCGGAAUUAUUGGGCGUAAAGAGCUCGUAGGCGGUUUGUCGCGUCUGCUGUGAAAACUCGAGGCUCAACCUCGGGCUUGCAGUGGGUACGGGCAGACUAGAGUGCGGUAGGGGAGACUGGAAUUCCUGGUGUAGCGGUGAAAUGCGCAGAUAUCAGGAGGAACACCGGUGGCGAAGGCGGGUCUCUGGGCCGUAACUGACGCUGAGGAGCGAAAGCAUGGGGAGCGAACAGG